rnacentral:rRNA from 1 species
UACGAAGGGGGGCUAGCGUUGCUCGGAAUCACUGGGCGUAAAGCGCACGUAGGCGGAUCUUUAAGUCAGGGGUGAAAUCCCAAGGCUCAACCUUGGAACUGCCUUUGAUACUGGGGGAUCUCGAGUCCGGAAGAGGUUGGUGGAACUGCGAGUGUAGAGGUGAAAUUCGUAGAUAUUCGCAAGAACACCAGUGGCGAAGGCGGCCAACUGGACCAGCACUGACACUGAGGCACGAAAGCGUGGGGAGCAAACAGG